rnacentral:rRNA from 1 species
GACGGAGGGUGCAAACGUUGUCCGGAUUUACUGGGCGUAAAGAGCGCGCAGGCGGCUGGUCAAGUCCGAUGUGAAAGCUCCCGGCUUAACUGGGAAAUUGCAUCGGAAACUGAUCGGCUGGAAGGUGGGAGAGGGUAGCGGAAUUCCCGGUGUAGUGGUGAAAUGCGUAGAUAUCGGGAGGAACACCAGUGGCGAAAGCGGCUACUUGGCCCAUUCUUGACGCUGAGGCGCGAAAGCUAGGGGAGCAAACGGG